UUCCCUGGAAAGCUGGAACAAUAGCAAAGACAGUGUUUGUCAGCUUUAAUAAAGUAAUGUGCUCCUUGGAGCUGACUGUGAGGCACCGCUUAGCCUGUGUGCCUUUCUGGGGUACCAUUCUCUCUGCUGUCAGGGAAAAGCCAGAAAUCACAUAUAAAGACAGAACAGCUAUCAAAGAUUGUUUGGGUGCAUUUACCUGAUGUUACUAAAGAAUUGUGCAUAAAUUUUUAUGCCAUCUAUACAUUCCAGAAAAACCCACCAAAGACAGUAACUGAUAAAUGCUGCUAUCAGCUGUUCUGUGCUGGAACAGAUUUGACAACAGCCAAAUUAACUCCAGCUAUGCAGAGCAUAUUCCUGCAUCAACAGCAUUCCAAAUGUCAACCCAGGAUUUGGAAAAAAGAAACUUGCACAUGAAGAUACUUAACCAGUCCUACAGAUCCAGAGGGAGUUUGGACAGGAAUGAGUGGAUGAAUCACCAGCACUCAAAGCUAUUGUGGAACUACUUCUGCUAAAUCAAAGAUGGCAUCAGGAAGAAAAAGAAUAUACAGCUGAGGUAAUCACACUGUGUUAGCAGAGAAGGUGAAGAAUUGGAGUUCCAGAGCCAAGCGUGUUUCUUGGGUCUGGCUGCAAAGAGAGGAGACUGAAUUCUCUGUCUACUCAAGAGGAAGCUCAGUGAAGGCAGGCAUCAAAGAAAGAGCCAGAGGCACACAAGGAAGUGCUCAGAGCUCACUGGGAGAAAAACUGAGGUGUUGUGUGAAGUAACAACGUGGAAAAUACUUGCCCCUCAUUUCACCUUUGGAAGGCACAUGAAUGAUGCAUGCAGGACAACAUCGUGUUCUCAGGACAGCAAGGAGCUGUGUCAGCUUCUUCUGAGCUCUCCUGGGUAAUCCUUGGCCCCUGCUUGCCAGCAUCCUGCUGUUCCACUCCUGGCCUUUCCUGAGCUGAAUGGAUUCCUCACUUCAGAAUGGGAAAUGAAUUUUCAUUCAUGUUUCUGCCAGGUUGAUAAGGCAAAAUAAUUAAUUCCUGUAGCUAAAUCAAGGUUAGAGUUUAUUAAAGCAUUUGGAUGGUAUUGUAUUGCCAGUACAGCAAGUAACUCCACACAAAAAAGCAAACAUGCUGGCUCAGCUGCAGUAAGGAUUUCUACAAAAUAAUGGCACACCAGCUUCUUGUAGUUAUUAUAACCCCACUUAUCAGUCUUCCUGUGAACUCAUUUUAUUUUCUCCAUGUUAGUCUUGCUCAUUCAAAAAUGAUGACGUCAUAUUAGUUAUUAAAUAAUGUCUUACUCAAGCACCUGACACUUCUUUUCUGCAGUCACUGGUUUUAGCCAAUUUUGUUGCAGGGAACAGGCCAAAAAGCUGAUCCUUUGGUUUAUCCAUAGGCAAAAGGGAACUACUAUUUCAAGCAGUAGGAAACAUGCAAAUUUCUUUGUUGAUAUUUGUAGAUCUGGAUUUCUGCAUUCAGCCAAGGUAUCUGACAGGAAACUUGUCUAGGACUAGGUGCAAAAUGUUCAAAAUUGAAAUGAAGAGAGUUCCUUCAC